GGUUAAGCGACUAAGCGUACACGGUGGAUGCCCUGGCAGUCAGAGGCGAUGAAGGACGUGCUAAUCUGCGAUAAGCGUCGGUAAGGUGAUAUGAACCGUUAUAACCGGCGAUUUCCGAAUGGGGAAACCCAGUGUGUUUCGACACACUAUCAUUAACUGAAUCCAUAGGUUAAUGAGGCGAACCGGGGGAACUGAAACAUCUAAGUACCCCGAGGAAAAGAAAUCAACCGAGAUUCCCCCAGUAGCGGCGAGCGAACGGGGAGCAGCCCAGAGCCUGAAUCAGUGUGUGUGUUAGUGGAAGCGUCUGGAAAGGCGCGCGAUACAGGGUGACAGCCCCGUACACAAAAAUGCACAUGCUGUGAGCUCGAUGAGUAGGGCGGGACACGUGGUAUCCUGUCUGAAUAUGGGGGGACCAUCCUCCAAGGCUAAAUACUCCUGACUGACCGAUAGUGAACCAGUACCGUGAGGGAAAGGCGAAAAGAACCCCGGCGAGGGGAGUGAAAAAGAACCUGAAACCGUGUACGUACAAGCAGUGGGAGCACGCUUAGGCGUGUGACUGCGUACCUUUUGUAUAAUGGGUCAGCGACUUAUAUUCUGUAGCAAGGUUAACCGAAUAGGGGAGCCGAAGGGAAACCGAGUCUUAACUGGGCGUUAAGUUGCAGGGUAUAGACCCGAAACCCGGUGAUCUAGCCAUGGGCAGGUUGAAGGUUGGGUAACACUAACUGGAGGACCGAACCGACUAAUGUUGAAAAAUUAGCGGAUGACUUGUGGCUGGGGGUGAAAGGCCAAUCAAACCGGGAGAUAGCUGGUUCUCCCCGAAAGCUAUUUAGGUAGCGCCUCGUGAAUUCAUCUCCGGGGGUAGAGCACUGUUUCGGCAAGGGGGUCAUCCCGACUUACCAACCCGAUGCAAACUGCGAAUACCGGAGAAUGUUAUCACGGGAGACACACGGCGGGUGCUAACGUCCGUCGUGAAGAGGGAAACAACCCAGACCGCCAGCUAAGGUCCCAAAGUCAUGGUUAAGUGGGAAACGAUGUGGGAAGGCCCAGACAGCCAGGAUGUUGGCUUAGAAGCAGCCAUCAUUUAAAGAAAGCGUAAUAGCUCACUGGUCGAGUCGGCCUGCGCGGAAGAUGUAACGGGGCUAAACCAUGCACCGAAGCUGCGGCAGCGACACUGUGUGUUGUUGGGUAGGGGAGCGUUCUGUAAGCCUGUGAAGGUGUACUGUGAGGUAUGCUGGAGGUAUCAGAAGUGCGAAUGCUGACAUAAGUAACGAUAAAGCGGGUGAAAAGCCCGCUCGCCGGAAGACCAAGGGUUCCUGUCCAACGUUAAUCGGGGCAGGGUGAGUCGACCCCUAAGGCGAGGCCGAAAGGCGUAGUCGAUGGGAAACAGGUUAAUAUUCCUGUACUUGGUGUUACUGCGAAGGGGGGACGGAGAAGGCUAUGUUGGCCGGGCGACGGUUGUCCCGGUUUAAGCGUGUAGGCUGGUUUUCCAGGCAAAUCCGGAAAAUCAAGGCUGAGGCGUGAUGACGAGGCACUACGGUGCUGAAGCAACAAAUGCCCUGCUUCCAGGAAAAGCCUCUAAGCAUCAGGUAACAUCAAAUCGUACCCCAAACCGACACAGGUGGUCAGGUAGAGAAUACCAAGGCGCUUGAGAGAACUCGGGUGAAGGAACUAGGCAAAAUGGUGCCGUAACUUCGGGAGAAGGCACGCUGAUAUGUAGGUGAAGUCCCUCGCGGAUGGAGCUGAAAUCAGUCGAAGAUACCAGCUGGCUGCAACUGUUUAUUAAAAACACAGCACUGUGCAAACACGAAAGUGGACGUAUACGGUGUGACGCCUGCCCGGUGCCGGAAGGUUAAUUGAUGGGGUCAGCGCAAGCGAAGCUCUUGAUCGAAGCCCCGGUAAACGGCGGCCGUAACUAUAACGGUCCUAAGGUAGCGAAAUUCCUUGUCGGGUAAGUUCCGACCUGCACGAAUGGCGUAAUGAUGGCCAGGCUGUCUCCACCCGAGACUCAGUGAAAUUGAACUCGCUGUGAAGAUGCAGUGUACCCGCGGCAAGACGGAAAGACCCCGUGAACCUUUACUAUAGCUUGACACUGAACAUUGAGCCUUGAUGUGUAGGAUAGGUGGGAGGCUUAGAAGUGUGGACGCCAGUCUGCAUGGAGCCGACCUUGAAAUACCACCCUUUAAUGUUUGAUGUUCUAACGUUGACCCGUGAUCCGGGUUGCGGACAGUGUCUGGUGGGUAGUUUGACUGGGGCGGUCUCCUCCUAAAGAGUAACGGAGGAGCACGAAGGUUGGCUAAUCCUGGUCGGACAUCAGGAGGUUAGUGCAAUGGCAUAAGCCAGCUUGACUGCGAGCGUGACGGCGCGAGCAGGUGCGAAAGCAGGUCAUAGUGAUCCGGUGGUUCUGAAUGGAAGGGCCAUCGCUCAACGGAUAAAAGGUACUCCGGGGAUAACAGGCUGAUACCGCCCAAGAGUUCAUAUCGACGGCGGUGUUUGGCACCUCGAUGUCGGCUCAUCACAUCCUGGGGCUGAAGUAGGUCCCAAGGGUAUGGCUGUUCGCCAUUUAAAGUGGUACGCGAGCUGGGUUUAGAACGUCGUGAGACAGUUCGGUCCCUAUCUGCCGUGGGCGCUGGAGAACUGAGGGGGGCUGCUCCUAGUACGAGAGGACCGGAGUGGACGCAUCACUGGUGUUCGGGUUGUCAUGCCAAUGGCACUGCCCGGUAGCUAAAUGCGGAAGAGAUAAGUGCUGAAAGCAUCUAAGCACGAAACUUGCCCCGAGAUGAGUUCUCCCUGACUCCUUGAGAGUCCUGAAGGAACGUUGAAGACGACGACGUUGAUAGGCCGGGUGUGUAAGCGCAGCGAUGCGUUGAGCUAACCGGUACUAAUGAACCGUGAGGCUUAACCUU
rnacentral:rRNA from 1 species